rnacentral:rRNA from 1 species
UUACCUACGGGGGGCUGCAGUAGGGAAUAUUGCACCAUGGGCGAAAGCCUGAUGCAGCAACGCCGCGUGAGUGAAGAAGGCCCUCGGGUCGUAAAACUCUUUUCAAGAGGAAGAGGAAGGACGGUACUCUUGGAAUAAGCCUCGGCUAACUACGUGCCAGCAGCCGCGGUAACACGUAGGAGGCGAGCGUUAUUCGGAUUUACUGGGCGUAAAGCGCGUGUAGGCGGCUUUAUAAGUUGGAUGUGAAAGCUCCCGGCUUAACUGGGAGAGGACGUUCAAAACUAUAGAGCUUGAGUGUGAGAGAGGAAAAUGGAAUUCCGGGUGUAGUGGUGAAAUGCGUAGAUAUCCGGAGGAACACCAGUGGCGAAGGCGAUUUUCUGGCUCGCAACUGACGCUCAGACGCGAAAGCUAGGGUAGCAAACGGGAUUAGAUACCCCAGUAGUCC